rnacentral:rRNA from 1 species
CCUACGGGAGGCAGCAGUGGGGGAUAUUGCACAAUGAGGGGAACCCUGAUGCAGCGACGCCGCGUGGGUGAAGAAGCGCCUCGGCGCGUAAAGCCCUGUCAGCAGGGAAGAAAAUGACGGUACCUGAAGAAGAAGCCCCGGCUAACUACGUGCCAGCAGCCGCGGUAAUACGUAGGGGGCAAGCGUUAUCCGGAUUUACUGGGUGUAAAGGGGGCGCAGGCGGCGAUGCAAGCCAGGAGUGAAAGCCCGGGGCCCAACCCCGGGACUGCUGUUGGAACUGAGUGGCUGGAGUGCGGGAGGGGCAGGCGGAAUGCGUGGUGUAGCGGUGAAAUGCGUAGAUAUCAGGAGGAACACCGGUGGCGAAGGCGGCCUGCUGGACUGCAACUGACGUUGAGGCACGAAAGCGUGGGGAGCAAACAGGAUUAGAUACCCGAGUAGUC